CCUACGGGAGGCUGCAGUGGGGAAUAUUGGACAAUGGGGGGAACCCUGAUCCAGCCAUGCCGCGUGUGUGAAGAAGGCCCUCGGGUUGUAAAGCACUUUCAGUGAGGAAGAACGCCUGGUGGUUAAUACCCAUCAGGAAAGACAUCACUCACAGAAGAAGCACCGGCUAACUCCGUGCCAGCAGCCGCGGUAAUAUGGAGGGUGCGAGCGUUAAUCGGAAUUACUGGGCGUAAAGCGCGCGUAGGUGGCUUGAUAAGCCGGUUGUGAAAGCCCCGGGCUCAACCUGGGAACGGCAUCCGGAACUGUCAAGCUAGAGUGCAGGAGAGGAAGGUAGAAUUCCCGGUGUAGCGGUGAAAUGCGUAGAGAUCGGGAGGAAUACCAGUGGCGAAGGCGGCCUUCUGGACUGACACUGACACUGAGGUGCGAAAGCGUGGGUAGCAAACAGGAUUAGAUACCCCAGUAGUC
rnacentral:rRNA from 1 species